GCCUGAUUACAUAUCUGCUUCUAUAUUGAUCACCCACACCACAGGUUACUGAACAUGAUGACCAGCUCCCCCAAUCUGAUACGAGGCAAUCUUGAGCUGUGAGAGGAUAAUAAUUGAUAGCUUUGGAUCGAAAGGAAGUUUCUACUCCGUGUUGAUAAUAUAAAGAACAUUCAUUAGUUGUGAGGUCAUAAAUUUGACAAAUUCAUAUAAUUGAAACGUCUUCGAAGCCAGUGAAAAAAUUAUAUAUUUAAUGAAAUAAGAUAAAUGUGUUUAAGAUAAGAAGACAAUAUUAAAUAAAUGAAGCAAUGUGAAAACGACGCAGACAUUUUACAUUAGACAUACUACCGCUAGUCUACUAGAGAAAAACGGGACCAUGAGGAAAAGAACAAUAAUCUUGUGAUAAGCUUAUGGCCUCCUGGCCGGAUACUGCAACUACUUUCCUUGGAAUUCCUUGUGACUAGUGUUCCGAGAGAUAGUUUUGAUGGAACGUAUUACUAAUUAACUUGUUUAAUGAGUAUCCGUUGUUUCUCUUCUGCUCGAUC